UGCCAGCCGCCGCGGUAAUACGGAGGGGGUUAGCGUUGUUCGGAAUUACUGGGCGUAAAGCGUACGUAGGCGGAUCAGAAAGUAUAGGGUGGAAUCCCGGGGCUCAACCCCGGAACUGCCUUUGAUACUGUUUAUCUAGAGUCCGAGAGAGGUUAGUGGAAUUCCCAGUGUAGAGGUGAAAUUCGUAGAUAUUCGGAGGAACACCAGUGGCGAAGGCGGCUUUCUGGACCGAUACUGACGCUGAGACGCGAAAGCGUGGGGAGCAAACAGGAUUAGAUA
rnacentral:rRNA from 1 species